rnacentral:sRNA from 1 species
CUCAGUCAGCUGUCGCUGUUCCGUGUGGCGCCGCAGUA